AGCCACAUCAGGUUGAAACACAGGUUCCCAUAAGAUCACCAAAGUUAAGCAAGGUUGACCCUGGUUAGUACUUAGAUAGGUAACUGCUGAUGAAUACCAGGUGUUGUAAG